rnacentral:rRNA from 1 species
GACGAACGCUGGCGGCGUGCCUAAUACAUGCAAGUAGAACGCUGAAGAGAGGAGCUUGCUCUUCUUGGAUGAGUUGCGAACGGGUGAGUAACGCGUAGGUAACCUGCCUUGUAGCGGGGGAUAACUAUUGGAAACGAUAGCUAAUACCGCCUAACAAUGGAUGACACAUGUCUUUUAUUUGAAAGGGGCAAUUGCUCCACUACAAGAUGGAUCUGCGUUGUAUUAGCUAGUAGGUGGGGUAAUGGCUAACCUAGGCGACGAUACAUAGCCGACCUGAGAGGGUUGUCGGCCACACCGGGACGGAGACACGCCCCAGACGCCUACGAGAGGCAGCCGUAGGGAAUCUUCGGCGAUGGGGGCAACCCUGACCGAGCAACGCCGCGUGAGUGAAGAAGGUUUUCUGAUCGUAAAGAUCAGUUGUAGGUCAAGAACGAGUGUGAGACUGGAAAGUUCACACAGUGACGGUAGCUUACCAGAAAGCGACGGCUAACUACGUG